GAUGAACGCUAGCUACAGGCUUAACACAUGCAAGUCGAGGGGUAACAAGAGAAAAGCUUGCUUUUCUUGUUGACGACCGGCGCACGGGUGAGUAACGCGUAUCCAACCUGCCUAUAACUAGGGAAUAACCUUGCGAAAGUAAGACUAAUACCCUAUGAUUUCCUUUGAUGACAUCAGAUUAGGAAUAAAGAUUUAUCGGCUAUAGAUGGGGAUGCGUCUGAUUAGCUUGUUGGCGGGGUAACGGCCCACCAAGGCAACGAUCAGUAGGGGUUCUGGGAGGAAGGUCCCCCACAUGGGAACUGCGACGCGGUCCAAACUCCGACGGGAGGCAGCAGUGAGGAAUAUUGGUCAAUGGGCGGAAGCCUGAACCAGCCAAGUAGCGUGCAGGAUGACGGCCCUAUGGGUUGUAAACUGCUUUUAUACAGGAAUAAAGUUAGCCACGUGUGGUUAUUUGUAGGUACUGUAUGAGUAAGGACCGGCUAAUUCCGUGCCAGCAGCCGCCGUAA
rnacentral:rRNA from 1 species